AUUGAACGCUGGCGGAAUGCUUUACACAUGCAAGUCGAACGGUAGAGGGGGCAACCCCUCGAGAGUGGCGAACGGGUGAGUAAUAUAUCGGAACGUGCCCAGUCGUGGGGGAUAACGUAGCGAAAGUUACGCUAAUACCGCAUACGAUCUAAGGAUGAAAGCGGGGGAUCGCAAGACCUCGCGCGAUUGGAGCGGCCGAUAUCAGAUUAGGUAGUUGGUGGGGUAAAGGCUCACCAAGCCAACGAUCUGUAGCUGGUCUGAGAGGACGACCAGCCAAACUGGAACUGAGACACGGUCCAGACUCCUACGGGAGGCAGCAGUGGGGAAUUUUGGACAAUGGACACAAGUCUGAUCCAGCCAUUCCGCGUGCAGGAUGAAGGCCCUCGGGUUGUAAACUGCUUUUGUACGGAACGAAAAGGUCUCUCUUAAUACGGGGGACUCAUGACGGUACCGUAAGAAUAAGCACCGGCUAACUACGUGCCAGCCGCCUCCGUAA
rnacentral:rRNA from 1 species